UGAGGAAUAUUGGUCAAUGGGCGAUGGCCUGAACCAGCCAAGUAGCGUGAAGGAUGACUGCCCUAUGGGUUGUAAACUUCUUUUAUAAAGGAAUAAAGUCGGGUAUGCAUACCCGUUUGCAUGUACUUUAUGAAUAAGGAUCGGCUAACUCCGUGCCAGCAGCCGCGGUAAUACGGAGGAUCCGAGCGUUAUCCGGAUUUAUUGGGUUUAAAGGGAGCGUAGAUGGAUGUUUAAGUCAGUUGUGAAAGUUUGCGGCUCAACCGUAAAAUUGCAGUUGAUACUGGAUGUCUUGAGUGCAGUUGAGGCAGGCGGAAUUCGUGGUGUAGCGGUGAAAUGCUUAGAUAUCACGAAGAACUCCGAUUGCGAAGGCAGCCUGCUAAGCUGCAACUGACAUUGAGGCUCGAAAGUGUGGGUAUCAAACAGGAUUAGAUACCCUGGUAGUCCACACGGUAAACGAUGAAUACUCGCUGUUUGCGAUAUACGGCAAGCGGCCAAGCGAAAGCGUUAAGUAUUCCACCUGGGGAGUACGCCGGCAACGGUGAAACUCAAAGGAAUUGACGGGGGCCCGCACAAGCGGAGGAACAUGUGGUUUAAUUCGAUGAUACGCGAGGAACCUUACCCGGGCUUAAAUUGCACUCGAAUGAUCCGGAAACGGUUCAGCUAGCAAUAGCGAGUGUAAAGGUGCUGCAUGGUUGUCGUCAGCUCGUGCCGUGAGGUGUCGGCUUAAGUGCCAUAACGAGCGCAACCCUUGUUGUCAGUUACUAACAGGUGAUGCUGAGGACUCUGACAAGACUGCCAUCGUAAGAUGUGAGGAAGGUGGGGAUGACGUCAAAUCAGCACGGCCCUUACGUCCGGGGCUACACACGUGUUACAAUGGGGGGUACAGAGGGCCGCUACCACGCGAGUGGAUGCCAAUCCCUAAAACCCCUCUCAGUUCGGACUGGAGUCUGCAACCCGACUCCACGAAGCUGGAUUCGCUAGUAAUCGCGCAUCAGCCACGGCGCGGUGAAUACGUUCCC
rnacentral:rRNA from 1 species